GUGAGAAUGGUGGAACACAUGUGCCAAGGAAGUGACUUUUACCGGUAUGGUUUUUUUUUUAACCGCCCUUGUUAGCGCUGUGCUACCAUGUUGCUGCUGUGUCUGUGAUUUUUACCAGUAUGUUUUUUUUUUCCUAAGCUGCUCUGUUAGCGGCGCGCUGGCAUCAGCGUGUUUCUGCUUUGUUACUGCCGUGGCUUUUUUUUUUUUUUUUUUUUACCAGCAUGUUUUUUUUUGUUAACCAGCUUUGUUCAUGCUACCGUGUUGUUGCUAUGUUAAGAGCUCGAACUCGAGCGGAAAAGGAAUCGUUACCAUGGAGACAACGGGCUCGAGAAGGUUUUCCCCGGGGACGUCCAUCCACGUCAUGGCUACCGCGCCGGGGUCGCCCGGAGAGCACGGCGUGAGCAGGUCGUCCGUGACGACGUCGGGCUUGUUCCACGACGAGCCGCGGACCUGCAACCGUGGGUGGCCGACUGGACCUUCCUGACGGGCUGCAUGAGGGCGUCCCUGACGAUGACGCUGAUGUCGGCCCCCGAGUAGCCCUCCGUCUUCUUCCCCAGAGUGACGAAGUCGGCCUCCGUCAGCUCGUUGGGCGUGG